GUUUAUCAGAAAAAGAUCAUAUGACCUUUCUUUGAACAAUCCAUGGCUCCCUCCGCAACAACCUCUCUUGCCAGCUACACAAAAUCCACGAUUUGCCUCCGAUCACUGCUUGGAAGUUCCCCUCAAAUUCUCCUACCCCUUGCACUGAAUCCUUCUUUCUUCUCUCACAAAUGUUCGAACUUUCGGUUCCACCAUCCAGAGCUACAUCCUUCACUCUCGAGGCAAUCAUUCACUCUUGGGCUUAAUUUCAAUGUUCAGAUUAUCUUCAUUCUCCACCAUACUCUCGAUCAUGAUUUAUGGCUCAGGGGAUUUUCUGUUUGGCUCAAGUAUCUUCCGAGCAUUGUUUUCAGAAAAUGUAAUGAGUCUUUCAAGGUAACUUCUUCAUGCUCGCCCGGAGCUUUCUAGGGGUGACCUUGAAGCUGCCAGUUUUUGAGAAGGGUUAUGAGGAAUAAGUUGAUUGGAGAGUUGUUGAUUAUUUUGGAUAUUGGAUUCUGAGCCUCUUGGGUGUGCAUGGUUCACCAUUAUUCUGCGAGGUACAAUGGAUUUUAAUUCAAUGAGGGAGAACAAGCAACAACUGGGAUACUGUAAUUGAGCCUUCUUAUUGCUGAAUUAUAUUGCUGUAAUAUUGGUCUUUUGUCGGAUUCAAUUGAGAUAUUAUUUAAAUUGUUUGCUUCAGUUUGGUUCAAUUGAAUUUUCUGUUCAACAAAACAUAUAUGUUGUAGUUCAAAUCUUAAGUUUUUAUAUUCAUUGUCGAAACGAUGCUGUUAAUAACGUAAGAAA